rnacentral:lncRNA from 1 species
CCUGGGCCUGCGCUGGCAGGAAGGAGCCUCGACGCCGGGGGCGCUGCCUACGUUUGGUGCUCCUGGCCCGCCCAUCCCGUCCCCGGGAAAGCGAGGUUUGGGAGGCCCACCGCAAACCCUCAAUUUGUGCGUCAGUUCCAAAAACGUGGGCGAGAACGUACAUUCCGCUACUUUGUGGUUCAACUCCGGGAAUCAGGAGACUGCUAUUAGCUUUACCUUUUGAAACCAGCUCUCACCCCCAUUUUACAAAAAGGAAACCAGGAUCCCGCAUAAAGCAGCCUCAAAGCUACUUAGAGCUGGAACUGGAACGCAGGACCCUGAACUGCAGUCUGUGCCUGCGUUCUCACCAGGAUUUGAGAGCCCGGCAAAACGUUCUAGUUGGCAGUUUGGCUCAGCAGACCGCUUGACCAUUACAAGAAAGAAGCCUGUGCUAAUUGACCAAAACGGGUUAAACAAGACGUUUGCAUGUCAUGAUAUCCAAGAAAACAGAACAGCCCAAUAAUAUCAGCCUGUGGGAGAAGAGUCGUGCGUUUAGAUAUUCCACAGCAGUCGGAAAUAGUUUUACUUUGUAUGUCCUCACUUGUAUCUGGCAUUUUCCACCAAAACACCAGGACCCCCCCCCCAAAUUUUCCCCAGAAGUUCAUGGAAGUAAAUUUAGGAAGUGAGGAAAUAUCUUUUUGAAGUGGGAAAAGCAAGCACAGAAUUAACUGAAAUCACUGGGUAAUUAUGGAUGUCCCUUACUUAGCAGGGAGCAAG